UCCCUCUUAGCUCAGUGGUAGAGCGCGUCACUAGUAUAAAAGAUUUGUUUGCCAAAAAAAAUAUGACGAGGUCAGUCGUUCAAGUCGGCUAGAGGGAA